rnacentral:rRNA from 1 species
GUGGAGGGUUGGGCCUCCCAUGGGGGGAAUUAGGGAGUCGGGCAAACCGGAGGAAGGUGGGAGAGCAAGUCAUCAUGCCCUUCGGCUGGGUCACACUGUCAAUGUUGGUACAGAGGGUUGGAAGUCGCGAGGCGGAGUAAUCUUCAAAGCCAAUGUAGUCCGGAUUGGAGUUGCAACUGACUCCAUGAAGUCGGAAUCGUAGUAAUCGCGGAUCAGAAUGCCGCGGUGAAUACGUUCCCGGGCCUUGUACACACCGCCCGUCACACCAUGGGAGUGGAUUGCACCAGAAGUAGUUAGUCUAACCUUCGGGAGGACGAUUACCACGGUGUGGUUCAUGACUGGGGUGAAGUCGUAUCAUCCAGAGUUGAUGGAGGAUCAUU